GAGGGUAUAGCUCAGUGGUAGAAAGCAUGCUUAGUAUGCACGAAGUCCUGGGUUCAAUCCCCAGUACUUCCA
rfam:Camelus ferus unplaced genomic scaffold scaffold1310, whole genome shotgun sequence.